GGGGUCUUGCUCAAUGGUAGAGCACUUGCCUGGCAUGCAUGAGGCUGUGGGUUCCAUCCCCAAUACCUCU
rnacentral:tRNA from 1 species